rnacentral:rRNA from 1 species
UACGAAGGGGGCUAGCGUUGCUCGGAAUCACUGGGCGUAAAGGGUGCGUAGGCGGGUCUCUAAGUCAGGGGUGAAAUCCUGGAGCUCAACUCCAGAACUGCCUUUGAUACUGAAGAUCUUGAGUUCGGGAGAGGUGAGUGGAACUGCGAGUGUAGAGGUGAAAUUCGUAGAUAUUCGCAAGAACACCAGUGGCGAAGGCGGCUCACUGGCCCGAUACUGACGCUGAGGCACGAAAGCGUGGGGAGCAAACAGG